rnacentral:rRNA from 1 species
GACGAACGCUGGCGGCGUGCUUAACACAUGCAAGUCGAACGAAGUGGCGAACGGGUGAGUAACGCGUAAUCAACCUGCCCUUCAGAGGGGGACAACAGUUGGAAACGACUGCUAAUACCGCAUACUGAAGGUGGGGAUUGCGUCUGAUUAGCUAGUUGGGGGGGUAACGGCCCACCAAGGCGAUGAUCGGUAGCCGGUCUGGGAGGGUGAACGGCCACAUUGGGACUGGGACACGGCCCAGACUCCUACGGGAGGCAGCAGUGGGGAAUCUUCCGCAAUGGACGAAAGUCUGACGAGGCAACGCCGCGUGAGGGAUGACGGCCUUCGGGUUGUAAAGCUCUGUUAAUCGGGACGCGGUACCGGAAUAGAAAGCCACGGCUAACUACGUGCCAGCAGCCGCGGUAAUUC